rnacentral:rRNA from 1 species
AGGGUUUGAUCAUGGCUCAGGAUGAACGCUGGCGGUAUGCUUUACACAUGCAAGUCGUACGAGAGUUUUGAACUCAAGUGGCGGACGGGUGAGUAACACGUAAGAAUUUACCUUUAGGAGGGGGACAACAACUGGAAACGGUUGCUAAUACCCCAUAUGCUUUCGAGUGAAAUGGAUUUUUCCGCCUAGAGAGAAGCUUGCGGCUGAUUAGCUUGUUGGUGAGGUAAUGGCUUACCAAGGCGACGAUCAGUAUCUGGUUUGAGAGGACGAUCAGACACACUGGAACUGAGACACGGUCCAGACUCCUACGGGAGGCAGCAGUGGGGAAUUUUCCGCAAUGGGCGAAAGCCUGACGGAGCAAUACCGCGUGAGGGAUGACGGCCUAUGGGUUGUAAACCUCUUUUUUCAGGGAGGAAUCAAAUGACGUGUACCUGAAGAAUAAGCAUCGGCUAACUCCGUGCCAGCAGCCGCGGUAAGACGGAGGAUGCAAGUGUUAUCCGGAAUCACUGGGCGUAAAGCGUCUGUAGGUGGUCAAAUAAGUCAACUGUUAAAUCUUGGGGCUCAACCUCAAAAUCGCAGUCGAAACUAUUAGACUAGAGUAUAGUAGGGGUAAAGGGAAUUUCCAGUGGAGCGGUGAAAUGCGUAGAGAUUGGAAAGAACACCGAUGGCGAAGGCACUUUACUGGGCUAUUACUAACACUCAGAGACGAAAGCUAGGGUAGCAAAUGGGAUUAGAUACCCCAGUAGUCCUAGCCGUAAACAAUGGA